rnacentral:rRNA from 1 species
UACAGAGGGUGCGAGCGUUGUUCGGAAUCAUUGGGCGUAAAGGGCGUGUAGGCGGUUUGUUAAGUCAUGUGUGAAAUCCCUCGGCUCAACCGGGGAAGGACGCAUGAAACUGGCAAGCUAGAGUACCAAAGAGGGGGGUGGAAUUCCACGUGUAGCGGUGAAAUGCGUAGAUAUGUGGAGGAACACCAGUGGCGAAGGCGACUCUCUGGUCUGUAACUGACGCUGAGGCGCGAAAGCGUGGGGAGCAAACAGG